GAUCCAGAGUACCACGAGACACGUGAAACCUUGUGGGAAGCAGGGAGGACCACCUCCCAAGGCUAAAUACUACCUGAUGACCGAUAGUGAAGCAGUACCGUGAGGGAAAGGUGAAAAGAACCCCGGGAGGGGAGUGAAAUAGAACCUGAAACCGUGUGCCUACAACCGGUCAAAGCCCCUUAUGAGGGUGAUGACGUGCUUUUUGUAGAACGAGCCAACGAGUUACGGUAUGUAGCAAGGUUAAGUACUUAAGGUACGGAGCCUAAGGGAAACCGAGUCUUAAUAGGGCGACUAGUUGCAUGCCGUAGACCCGAAACCGGGUGACCUAUCCAUGGCCAGGUUGAAGCGGGGGUAAAACCCCGUGGAGGACCGAACCACGUUGCUGUUGAAAAAGCAUGGGAUGAGCUGUGGAUAGCGGAGAAAUUCCAAUCGAACUCGGAGAUAGCUGGUUCUCCUCGAAAUAGCUUUAGGGCUAGCGUCGGAUAUGAGUAAUGGAGGUAGAGCACUGAAUGGGCUAGGGGGCGUAUCGCUUACCGAACCUUAUCAAACUCCGAAUGCCAUAUACUAUGAGUCCGGCAGUCAGACUACGAAUGAUAAGAUCCGUGGUCAAAAGGGAAAAAGCCCAGAUCGUCAGCUAAGGUCCCAAAGUGUAAGUUAAGUGGUAAAGGAUGUGGGAUUUCUAAGACAACUAGGAUGUUGGCUUAGAAGCAGCCACUCAUUUAAAGAGUGCGUAAUAGCUCACUAGUCGAGAGAUCCUGCGCCGAAAAUGUCCGGGGCUCAAACUUACCACCGAAGCUACGGGCUCAAGUUUACUUGAGCGGUAGAGGAGCGUCGUAAUCGGGCUGAAGUCGUACCGUAAGGAGCGGUGGACUGAUUACGAGUGAGAAUGUUGGCAUUAGUAGCGAGAUGUAAGUGAGAAUCUUACAGGCCGAAAAUCUAAGGUUUCCUGGGGAAGGCUCGUCCGCCCAGGGUUAGUCGGGACCUAAGCCGAGGCCGAAAGGCGUAGGUGAUGGACAAUUGGUUGAUAUUCCAAUACCACUAUUAUCGUUAUUAUCGAUGGUGUGACGGAGAAGGAUAGGAUGUGCUAGCGAUUGGAAAUGCUAGUCUAAGCAUUUAGGGAGUUAAAGUAGGCAAAUCCGCUUUAACAAUUCUGAGGUGUGAUGGGGAAGGUCAUUUUGACUGAAGUAUCUGAUUCCAUGCUUCCAAGAAAAGCAUCUAGAGAGAGAAGUAGUGCCCGUACCGCAAACCGACACAGGUAGAUGAGGAGAGAAUCCUAAGGCCAUCGGAAGAAUUGCAGUUAAGGAACUAGGCAAAUUGACCCCGUAAGUUCGCGAGAAGGGGUGCCUGUGAGAGCAGGCCGCAGAGAAUAGGCCCAAGCAACUGUUUAGCAAAAACACAGGUCUCUGCUAAAGCGUAAGCUGAUGUAUAGGGGCUGACGCCUGCCCGGUGCUGGAAGGUUAAGGGGAACACUUAGCGCAAGCGAAGGUGUGAACUUAAGCCCCAGUAAACGGCGGCCGUAACUAUAACGGUCCUAAGGUAGCGAAAUUCCUUGUCAGGUAAGUUCUGACCCGCACGAAUGGCGUAAUGACUUGGGCACUGUCUCAACUGCAAAUCCGGCGAAGUUGUAGUGCGAGUGAAGAUGCUCGCUACCCGCGAUUGGACGGAAAGACCCCGUAGAGCUUUACUGUAGCUUAGCAUUGAGUUUCGAUAUUGUCUGUACAGGAUAGGUGGGAGACUGAGAAGCUAGGGCGUCAGCCUUAGUGGAGUCAACCUUGGGAUACCACCCUGACAGUAUUGGGAUUCUAACCGGACGCCAUGAAUCUGGUGACGGGACAUUGUUAGGUGGGCAGUUUGACUGGGGCGGUCGCCUCCUAAAAAGUAACGGAGGCGCCCAAAGGUUCCCUCAGAACGGUCGGAAAUCGUUCGAAGAGUGCAAAGGCAGAAGGGAGCCUGACUGCGACACCCACAAGUGGAGCAGGGACGAAAGUCGGGCUUAGUGAUCCGGUGGUACCUCGUGGGAGGGCCAUCGCUCAACGGAUAAAAGCUACCUCGGGGAUAACAGGCUGAUCUCCCCCAAGAGUCCACAUCGACGGGGAGGUUUGGCACCUCGAUGUCGGCUCGUCGCAUCCUGGGGCUGUAGUAGGUCCCAAGGGUUGGGCUGUUCGCCCAUUAAAGCGGCACGCGAGCUGGGUUCAGAACGUCGUGAGACAGUUCGGUCCCUAUCCGUCGCGGGCG
rnacentral:rRNA from 1 species